rnacentral:lncRNA from 1 species
UUGAGUUAAGCUUUGGAGCUUUUGAUACAACUCUCGGUGAUAGUAAGCAGGAAUAAAACGCUUUCUCAUUAUUGCUUUCAUUUCCGCCCAUGUAGACACGGGACGUUCUCCAUUGCGUCUUCGGCUCAACGUGAGUUGAUCCCACCAUAUUAUGGCAUAGUCGGAGAAUUCUAUAGCAGCUAACUUCCCCUUUUUGCUUUCCGAGUAAUUGUGGCACUCGAAAACUAAUUCCACCUUCUUCUCCCAUUCAAGAUAGGCCUCGGGAUCCGAUCUUCCUUGAAAAGCAGGAAUCACCAUUUUAAU